UCCUACGGGAGGCAGCAGUGGGGAAUAUUGCACAAUGGGCGAAAGCCUGAUGCAGCAACGCCGCGUGAGUGAUGAAGGCCUUCGGGUCGUAAAGCUCUUUGAUCAGGGAUGAUAAUGACAGUACCUGAAAAACAAGCCACGGCUAACUACGUGCCAGCAGCCGCGGUAAUACGUAGGUGGCGAGCGUUGUCCGGAAUUACUGGGCGUAAAGGAUGCGUAGGUGGAUAUUUAAGUGGGAUGUGAAAUCCCCGGGCUCAACCCGGGAACUGCAUUCCAAACUGGGUAUCCAGAGUGCAGGAGAGGAAAGCGGAAUUCCUAGUGUAGCGGUGAAAUGCGUAGAUAUUAGGAGGAACACCAGUGGCGAAGGCGGCUUUCUGGACUGUAACUGACACUGAGGCAUGAAAGCGUGGGUAGCAAACAGGAUUAGAUACCCUGGUAGUCCACGCCGUAAACGAUGGGUACUAGGUGUAGGAGGUAUCGACCCCUUCUGUGCCGUCGUUAACACAAUAAGUACCCCGCCUGGGGAGUACGGUCGCAAGACUAAAACUCAAAGGAAUUGACGGA
rnacentral:rRNA from 1 species